rnacentral:rRNA from 1 species
UACGUAGGGUGCGAGCGUUAAUCGGAAUUACUGGGCAUAAAGCGUGCGCAGGCGGCGCGUUAAGACAGGUGUGAAAGCCCCGAGCUUAACUUGGGAAUUGCGCUUGUGACUGGCGUGCUGGAGUGUGACAGAGGGAGGUGGAAUUCCACGUGUAGCAGUGAAAUGCGUAGAUAUGUGGAGGAACACCGAUGGCGAAGGCAGCCCCCUGGGUUAACACUGACGCUCAUGCACGAAAGCGUGGGGAGCAAACAGG